CCAGCACAUUGAGCAACCGGCUUCCUUCCUGCCCCGGGUCAGGAGCUGGGCCAGGGAAAGUGAAGAAACCUGUUUGGGGCCUCGGCAGGGUGGGCGUGGGUGGGGCCCUGCCGGGAAAAGAGGCGCCUAGACCAGUUAGUUUCCUUUGCUCCAGGACCGGAUGCGGAGCCGGGACUCAGGUGGAGGCAGGAGAAAUACGCACCCUGGGUGCACCUACGAAAGUGGGAAGACGGUGCCUACCCCAAAGCGUCGUGGGAAUGAAAGUCAAUGAAGUGACAUAGGAAAGGUGCCUAGCACAUGGCAGAUUCCUAUCAGGCGAAGGCCGCCUUUCCUGGCCUCCCCCACAGGCCCGCCAGCGAUUCGUCCUUACAAGGCUAGCCUCCACGGGCUGCCCUCUGUGUAAAUAAAGCCACAGACUUCCGCCCACAGGUCGCCGCAGGUCCCGCCCGCAGCGCCGGGCCGCGGGGGAGGCGGGAACUGGUGCUACGGCCGCUACGCAGGCCUCGGGAGGCUCGGAGCCCGCCACGCCCCAGCCCUCUCGCAGGGCCGGGGAGCCACGGGGCCAAAAGGAGGAGCAGGUGGAAGAAAUCCAGGCUCAGACCGUCGGAGUCCCCACCCAUGAGCACCCUUCUCCACUGAUCACUCAGAACAUGGUAGGCCCUAGAGAGACAGCAGCCCGAAUCUUCCCAGAAACCCUGCAGGAGAUUCCUUCUUCCCAUUUUAUAGAAGGGAGGCUGAGGCUCGGCACGUUGAAAUGGCUUGACCAAGGUCCCACAGGCAAAAAAAUGGUACAGCAAGAUAUUGUAACCCAAUAUCUGGCUGCAAAACCCAGUCUCUCCCCAACCCACCUAUCGUCACCGAGAUUGUAAAACUUCUAACCGGGAAGAAUCAAAUACAUGCACAACGGGUUACAGGUUAACAGACAGAUGGGAGCGGAAAGGGACAUUCCAGCGCUUCCCUGGGCGUGUCGCACAGGGCAACUCCAACCACAGGCGAAUUUUCCUGGGUGACAGUUAAACUCCUUUUUGCAUGAAAAAAUACAGAUUCUUAUUAAAACAAUAAUCGAUUAGACUAUAAAACUCUCAAAGUUAUUUCGGAUCAAAAUUAUUUUCGGCUGUUUCCACACCUUUUUUUCUCGAUUGUGCAGAAAUUCUUCACACCGUCUGCACAGAUGGGCAAACUGAGACCCGGACGAGUCCCAUUGAGAGAGAGAGGCAGAGCCGGGGUUGGGAGAAGACUGAGAUUUCUGGGAUCCGGCUUGGGGUGUUUCCGCUGGGUGGGGGCGCCGGUUUGCGAAGAGCUUUCCUCGGACAGCUACUGCUGAUUUUUGUCGCUCAGCCAGCCAAGUGGGGGCGAUUCUGAGUAAUCGCAGGCAAUCAGCGCGGCUGGGGUUAAAAGCGAAAGGGACUCGCGGGCGAACGGCCGGGGAGGGCGGCGGGCACAGAGCCCAGACGCCGGCAAAGGCGGGGCGCCGCCGGGGUUCCCUCGGUGCGAGCGCGCGCGGCACUUCCUGCUUUUGCUCCUCCCUGCGGUCCUGCCGGCCGUUGUAAACUGGCGCUGCGGGCCACACCCGUGUUCCAGGCCCGCUAACCCACCGGCGGCCCCAGAGCCCCAGGCGGCCCCAGAGACCCAGCCUCAAUCCUCAGUCCUCGUACAGUCCUCAGGUCCAAGUUCUGGCCAUAGGAACGCCAGCCAGAUCUGCAGCUCAGCUAGCUGAAUUUCAGGUUCCAGAGACCUGGCCCUUUUCUUCCAUGUAGGGGACAGUCAGGUUCUCUGGCCUGGGUUUUCUAAAAGUACCCAGAGUUGAACUACCUUC
rnacentral:lncRNA from 10 species